rnacentral:rRNA from 1 species
UACGUAGGGGGCUAGCGUUGUCCGGAUUUAUUGGGCGUAAAGAGCGUGUAGGCGGCCAGGUAGGUCUGCUGUGAAAACUCGAGGCUCAACCCUCGAGACGUCGGCGGAAACCAUCUGGCUAGAGUCCGGAAAGAGGAGAGUGGAAUUCCGUGGUGUAGCGGUGAAAUGCGCAGAUAUCAGGAAGAACACCCGUGGCGAAGGCGGCUCUCUGGGGACGGUACUGACGCUGAGACGCGAAAACGUGGGGGAGCGAACAGG